ACUCAAAUGAAUUGACGGGGACCCGCACAAGCGGAGGAUGAUGUGGUUUAAUAUGACGAUACGCGUAGAACCUUACCAAGGCUUGACAUCCUGGGAAGGCGCUGGAAACAGUGCUGUGCCUUCGGGAACCCAGUGACAGGUGUUGCAUGGCCGUCGUCAGCUCGUGUUGUGAAAUGUUGGGUUAAGUCCCGCAACGAGCGCAACCCUUAUCGUAUGUUGUAUUUUUCAUGCGAGACUGCCCGGGCCAACCGGGAGGAAGGUGGGGAUGAAGUCAGGUCGGCAUGGCCCUUACGCCUUGGGCCACACACGUCAUACAAUGGCCGGUACAACGCGCCGCUAAGCCGCGAGGCGGAGCAAAUCGCACCAAAACCGGUCCCAGUUCGGAUUGCAGGCUGCAACUCGCCUGCAUGAAGUCGGAUUCGCUAGUAAACGCAGGUCAGCAUACUGCGUUGAAUACGUUCCCGGGUCUUGCACACACCGCCCGU
rnacentral:rRNA from 1 species